rnacentral:rRNA from 1 species
UACGUAGGGCGCGAGCGUUAUCCGGAGUUACUGGGCGUAAAGAGCGCGCAGGCGGUCGUUCAAGUCGCGUGUGAAAGCCCCCGGCUCAACUGGGGAGGGUCACGCGAUACUGAUCGACUCGAAGGCAGGAGAGGGUAGUGGAAUUCCCGGUGUAGUGGUGAAAUGCGUAGAUAUCGGGAGGAACACCAGUGGCGAAGGCGACUACCUGGCCUGUUCUUGACGCUGAGGCGCGAAAGCUAGGGGAGCGAACGGG